UAUGCUUGCCAAUGGACACCCCUCCGACACUCGCACAGAUGGCAGAAGCCUGUGCGAGGAAAGCAGAGAUGUUUUCACAGGAAAAGAGACUUCCUUGGACCACCCAAAGACCUGUUGCUGCAGUUUCAUCUGAAACAAGGAGUGAACAGAUGACGUCUGACCAGCAACAGCAAAUUUGUUUUCACUGCAGAAAACCGGGACAUUUUGCUAAAAACUGUCCUUUAAAACAAUGGAAACACACUGAUACCAGCUUGCCAAAAAGCUUGGGUCUCAGUGCUUACCUGCCCGGCGCGCAGACAUAAAUGAAGCGGGGACCAAUUUCUGUCCUUUAAUAAAAAGGGGGGAGGGGGGUGAAAAACUGCAGAAAUAUAAUUGUGAAAAACAUUUGCCUAAUAAGGUCUGGCAACCGUAAAAGCGAUUCAGACUUGUAACUGCUAAAGCUUUUUGUUUCAGAUCUGAUUGUUGGACUGUCGUUGGAGUAGACUUGCAGGAUAAUUCACAAGACCUGGCUGGACUGGAUAGCCCCUGAUGGAUUCCUCAGAAAUGGGUAAAACCUUUUGUUCCAAAGAAUCCAGCACCAGCAAGAAGAGAAGAGAAGCAAGUGGCUGUUGCUUCCAAGAGAAGACGCCACUGGAGAGAGCAAGAAGAAACCUUUCUAGCCUCUGACCUGCAUACUUUAACUGUGAAUAUGUUUUAAAAAA